rnacentral:rRNA from 1 species
AGUGAACGCUGGCGGUAGGCCUAACACAUGCAAGUCGAACGGCAGCACAGUAAGAGCUUGCUCUUACGGGUGGCGAGUGGCGGACGGGUGAGGAAUACAUCGGAAUCUACUUUUUCGUGGGGGAUAACGUAGGGAAACUUACGCUAAUACCGCAUACGACCUACGGGUGAAAGCAGGGGAUCUUCGGACCUUGCGCGAUUGAAUGAGCCGAUGUCGGAUUAGCUAGUUGGCGGGGUAAAGGCCCACCAAGGCGACGAUCCGUAGCUGGUCUGAGAGGAUGAUCAGCACCACUGGAACUGAGACACGGUCCAGAGUCCUACGGGAGGCAGCAGUGGGGAAUAUUGGACAAUGGGCGCAAGCCUGAUCCAGCCAUACCGCGUGGGUGAAGAAGGCCUUCGGGUUGUAAAGCCCUUUUGUUGGGAAAGAAAAGCAGCAGGUUAAUACCCCGCUGUUCUGACGGUACCCAAAGAAUAAGCACCGGCUAACUUCGUG